GCAGUGGUGGUUCAGUGGUAGAAUUCUUACCUUGCAUGUAGGAAACCCAGGUUCGAUUCCUGGCCGAUGCA